ensembl:lncRNA
CCCAGGGCACGCAGCAGCACACCAUUCCCUUCCCACAGCCUCCACCUCAGGCUGUCCCUGUGCCAAGGCGUUUGUGGCCCCGGCUUGGAGCUGGGCCCACACCAGAGCCUUGAUGAUGUGCAUCCCAAUGGAGCGAGGUUUUUUUCUGGUGCUGGAUGGAGAACUGCAAGAAUAAUUUUCCAGAAUGAGUUCAGAUAUCAGUUGUUGCUGUGGACUAUCUUGCCAGUGAUUGUUUCCUGAAAUAUCGGUGAUUCAUCAAGGAGAAAUGAAUAUACUGAAGGGAAAUUUUUUCUAAGAUGUGAAUUGAGUGUCUGAGGAAAAUGUUGAGUUUCCUGGGACAGGUCAUCAUAUGGAAUUUCAAGUUAUUACCAGUUGGAAGCUGCUGGAUCUUUCUGAGAAUACUUUUUACACUGAACCAGUGUGAUUCAUCGGUCGCUUCCAGCCAGAACUCAGACUGUGACCACAUCAGACUCAGUUGUCUGCUGGCUUCUCCAUUCGCAUCAGGAAAGUACUCAUCCAGAGCUCGUGGGGACUGCCUGGAACAAAAAUGAUAUGCAAAUGGCUUUGGUGGGUCCAAAGGCAUAAAAGGUCUGAAGAGGCCAGCCCUGGUCAUGGUCAACAGAUGAAGCAUAAGCAAACAGGGAGGUUAUUGAUUCAGCGCAGCAGUACCCUUUCUUCUAAUGCAAGGUCAGAGUAAAAGUUUGUCCAGAGACUGUUCAGGAGAUGCUGGAAUGAGUGCCAUCAGCUGCUCCAUCUUUUUAGAGAUUUAAAUACUUUCCAAGGGUUUCUGUUUCUGCAGCUUUGAUGUAGCUGGCAUGAGGAAGGAAUGGGAUUUGGAACAUGCUGGGGUAAUGUCUGCAUUUGUAUCAGUGCCCUGCAUGAAGACUUAUGUGCUGGGAGAUCAGAUCCACUCAUUCAAAUGAACUUCACACACGACAGUCCCCGUCCCUUGUCAGAAGCAGCAUGUGUCAUGCCUUGAAUCCUGCUCAGACCUGGGCCUGAACCCAACAGCUUGCAGAUGGAAUUGGCAGCUUGAGCUAAAGCAGAGCAUCUCACAAUUGGAGGUGUCAGAUCAGAGCACUCUCCACUUCUAUGAAUGUGGGAAUCUGGGUCAUGUCAUGCCUUGGCCAUUGUAAUGAAUGACAUUAGGUUCCUUUCUGCCACCUUUUCUGGAAAGGAGCUCGCUGAUUGAUAGGCAUAUGUACAAAACCACCUACAUGCGUUAGUUGACCCUGACAUAACUUCAGAAUACAUCCCAGGGUGACUUAAGAUAGAUCCAACCCGAAAGGCAGGCAAUUUAAAAUCUCAUCCCAUCAACUCCUGGUGCUGUACCAACGCAGCCGGCGGUGGUGGCCAGGUGUGCAGAAACACAGCGCUCUGUGCCCACAGCACACACCGCAGCACCUGGCUGCCUGCAUAGGUGCCAUCAAUCACACAAGAACUGCAAUCCCCGUGCAUAUUCUGAGCCCUUGUGCCCAGCUAAGUGACAAAUGGAAGUUAAAGCUGUCAGCACGAUGGAAGCAAUGCAGCUGCGUAAGCCCAAGUGGGGGUAAAAAUAUCUUAGAAAAUGACAAAGGCAAGAUGAUGCACAACCCCUCCUUGCAGCCGCUGAAACGUGGGCCAGAAGUACUGUUCAGUGUUCUGAUCUCAGGCUGAGCUUUGGAAACCAGGGAUGAAGCCUCUUCUGAGCUGAGAACUGAGCCAAUCCAGAGCUGCAAGUGGCUUUCCUUCCAGCAUCUCCUCCUUUGUCCUCCCCUGUUCCCAUCUUUGUCACCGUUUGGAGUAGCACGGGGACUCUGCCACAGGCAGCACUUUAUAAAUAGCGGAGAUAAAAGGCUUUUCCUGUUGGACCACUGAGUGAGGUUCACAUCGUUUUCCAGAUCCAAAUAAAACUCUUUUCUCCUCACUCAGCAGAAAUGGUCAGUAUUUUCCCAUCAGAGGACCUAAUCUGAAGUUAAUGGACACCUGCCUAGUGGUUUCAAGUUGUUUGCAUCCAGCCCAGAGCAGUUGCUGGGGGCCAGUGGCACAGAGCUGCUGCUAACCGCCCUCCAAACAGGGAUGUUAAAAAUUAAAAGGGCUUAAUGGCUGUACCAGCAUGUCCUCUGACCUGCAGUGGUACAUGUGCUUCCUGAUUAAACAGCAAUGCCUCAGCUAUGUGCAUGGGGCUCAGUUUUGCAACACCUGAAAACAAAUAUUCCCUACCAAGCAGGGAGGCUAAGAAAUUGGGAGAGAAAUACAUGGACCGUAUGACCAGCUCUGCAGUCUGCAAAGAGGAUCAACCCAGCUGUCAGGUGCAGGUGGGUGUCUGCCUUUUGCUGUAUGUGAAGCCAUUGGGAGGACCACGGCGAUAGCCCAGCUCACAGAUCUCAUCUGCUCCCACGGGUCACCUGCAGGAACUCUCAUCUUCAUGCAGCUCAAGGAAACUGUGCCCAGACAUGUUUUUUCUCUCUCUUCUGGGAAGUGUGCAAUGGAGAGUUGCAUUUUCUCUUUCCUCCGCAACAUAUUCAAAUUUAUAGAAUGAGAUUUGUGAUAAUUGAGCUGAGAGCUGAAUGCUGAGCCUUCUCCAUAUCCCCCAGGGUUUUCCUGGGAACAAGAUGGAUUGCCCAGUGUGUUUCAAGCAAAAAAAAAAAAAAAAAAGAAUGAAUAAAUAAAUUGGUGAAUAACAGCAUGCCUCAUUUUGCCUAUCUCCUAGAGAGAGAGGAAGCCGAUUCUUUAAGUAUCAGGAAUGUGCUCAUUAUGCAAAAAUGGCAGAGCAGAUGUACAUAUUCAUAACAAGUAUAUUAAAAAUCUCAUUUUAGCUCUUUAGAAGACAAGUGCAAAUGCAAAAUUGGGUGCAAUUAUAUUUAUCAUCCCACCUAUGGUGUGUUUCCAUUUGGAUGUGUGUUUGUUGGAGCUGGCUGUAUGGCAUUUCCUGUGACUGAAAAAGCACAUUACCAAAACUCACAGCAUACAACACUUCAUGGCAAAGCUGAUCCAAGGCCUGCUGAAAAGGCUCGUGCUGAGUUCAGCUUUGCAUUCAGGCAAGGGUUGGUCUCUGCGCAGCCCUAAGUGUGUUCACAGCCACAGAAAGAGCGGAGGACACAAUGAUGGUGGGGCCAUUCAUCACAGCUAUCGUUUAAUCAAAAUAACACGAUGAACUGAUAAUUAGACGCCCUUGCAACGACUGCCCCGAGCCAGAGCCCUGGGUAGGUCCCCUUCCAUACAGAGAAAUAAGUCAGAUGAGGAGUCUGCUGUGGACAAAGAGAUUAAUCUUGGGCAUCAGUAUGAACAAUAGUGGGAAACAGUGCUGCUCAGGGGCUGCUGGUCUGUGCCUGGGUGCUGGUUUGUACACGUCGGAUGCAAAUCUGUGUUCAGGGCUUUGGUGAGACGGUGUAAACUGCAGGCAGGUUGGCACUAGGGGUUCCCUCUUGGAACACGGAUGCUAUCCCCCAAAUAAAGGCAUCAUAACUUGAGAGCUGGAAUGUCUUUAAUUUUUUAACAAUGUGGAGUUAAAAGCUGACAAAAUAGAAUUCCCCAUUGUCAGUAGUGCAAAAUUCAUUUUGUUUCUCUAAUUUUAUCUCCGAAACGAAUGUUGAAACCAGGCUGAUGGGCAGUGGUGAGACCUCCAGGCACAGUGGGAAUGCUAGUUAUUGUCUGAAGAGAGGGAUCCGUGUUCGAGUGUGCUGGGGUUAUCAUCAGUACACCCAGGAAGAACACAGGGCUGUGUCGGUUGCAAUCAUUAGCAGAGCAACCUGUGUGGAGCAGAAGGAAAGCCUCUGCUUCUCAGCAUGUCUUUCCUUCUGUAAGGAAAACAUUUGCAAGUGCUUUCAUCCUCCCCAGCUUACAAGAGGAAAGGUUGUCUGCUUCCCAAGAUUUAAUGAGCUACACUUUGGAAUACUGUUAUGGACAUACAGGCCGUUUAACAAAUGUGGUGCCAGUGGAAAGUCACCAUCUUCCAAACUGAAAGAAAAUAUGGCUUAAGUAGCAGCAGAUCUCAUGUUCAGACUACGACUGAGGAAUACAAGAGUCCUCUCACAGCACUGGGAGGCUGACAUGGAUCGGGACCUCUGAGUUAUUUAAUGGCAUUCAGCUGUACCCCGUAAGGUGUCUAACAGUUUGAGCCGAGCUGAUGCACGGUUCCUAUUAGGUCUCCUGGGACAAAUCUGAAUCUCUCUUGAUUUUCACACUGGCACAAAACCAGGAGGAAUUUGUCACCAGGGACAGGACCUGAUGGCAGAUACCUGAACAGACGGUGGGGUUUUGUGAAAGGUGAAGGAGAAGAGAGCACAGCAGAAAUUGGGUUGGUUGGUUUUUUUUUGCAAUCUAUUCCUGAUUUCCUUGGCUAGAGGGAAACGAAGGAAAAACUCAAAUAGCGAGCGUGACAUUCAGCUGAACAAAAAGCAAGGUGAACUGCACUUCCAAGUAUAGCUCCUAUGUGAAGACAAAAAGCACUUUCCAAAAUAACUGAGCAUUGUAUGUUUAUCCAUGAUUAGGGCUGGGCGUUGCCAGAGAAGAAUGUGAAGACAGGAAGAUAAAGGCAGGGAGAGAGGGCUGCUUACAGCUGCCUUUUUAAUUUAUUUCCUUAAAGAUCG